UACAGAGGGUGCAAGCGUUAAUCGGAAUUACUGGGCGUAAAGCGUGCGUAGACGGUUAUUUAAGUCAGGUGUGAAAGCCCCGGGCUCAACCUGGGAAUGGCAUUUGAGACUGCAUAGCUAGGGUGCGGAAGAGGGAAGCGGAAUUUCCGGUGUAGCGGUGAAAUGCGUAGAUAUCGGAAGGAACACCAGUGGCGAAAGCGGCUUCCUGGUCCAGCACCGACGUUCAGGCACGAAAGCGUGGGGAGCAAACAGG
rnacentral:rRNA from 1 species